rnacentral:rRNA from 1 species
UACGUAGGGUCCGAGCGUUUGUCCGGAAUUAUUGGGCGUAAAGGGCUCGUAGGCGGUCUGUUGCGUCGGGAGUGAAAACUUACAGCUUAACUGUGAGCGUGCUUUCGAUACGGGCAGACUUAAGGCAUUCAGGGGAGAACGGAAUUCCUGGUGUGAGCGGUGAAAUGCGCAGAUAUCAGGAAGAACACCCGUGGCGAAGGCAAUCCCCUGGGCCUGUACUGACGCGUCAUGCACGAAAGCGUGGGGAGCAAACAGG